GAGUUUGAUCUUGGCUCAGAUUGAACGCUGGCGGUAUGCUUAACACAUGCAAGUCGAACGGUAACAGGAGAGAGCUUGCUCUUUUGCUGACGAGUGGCGGACGGGUGAGUAAUGCGUAGGAAUCUGCCUAGUAGUGGGGGACGAACGUGUGGAAACGACACGCUAAUACCGCAUACGCCCUACCGGGGAAGGACGGGGAGGUCUUCGGUACCGU
rnacentral:rRNA from 1 species